rnacentral:lncRNA from 1 species
GUAAAAACUGGACAUUUGGGAAAGAUGGUUAGUCAGUAAUAUAAACAUAUACUUGUAUUGCUAUUCUAUUCAAAAAUAUUAUUUACAACAAAAAAAGUAAGGCCAGUCAGUACAUAAGAUUUUGAUGUCACUGAAUGCAUAUAUUUUUUCUGCAUUUUAGCAAUGGCACUUUUCAUUUGUAUUGAGGCUGCUUUGGACCUGCCCAUUAGUAUAAAUUGUUUAUUAAUUUGAUAAAUGACGAAGCAGUGACCUCUUAUUAAGUGGACAUCUUGAUAUAUAUAUUAUGUUUCUGCAAUGUGUUAUAAAUUUUGAUGAGCAUGUCUUGAUUGAUUUGACAUCUGGGUUAACAGUAGUAUACUUUUUACAAAUAGUCCAAUCUUAACGCUUAUAGACCAAAUUAAUAAAAUAAUUGUCCAUUGCGUUCAUUUUUAUUUUGUAAGCUGAUUCAAAUUAAAGUUGCCAAAAAUGAUUCAAAAAUCCUUUAAAAAAAGUUUGUUCUUCAGAAAUUGUAUCAAAUAUUUAAAACAAAACUUAUCACAAAUGAAACACCUUAUUGUGCAGUCAACUGUUAAAUAAUAUAAGCAUGACCCUAUUUAUUGAAUCUAAUAAAAAGUAAAAUCACAAAAAUACUGAACUCUGAGGAAAAUUCAAAACAGAAAGUCCCUUAUCAAAUAGCAAAAUCAAAAGCUCAUACACAUCAAACGAAUGGAUAACAACUGUCAUAUCCUGACAUGGAACAGACAUUUUAUUAUGUACACCUGGUUUUAAAGCUAGCUAAAUCUCUCACUUGUAUGACAGUCCCAUCAAAUUCAAUUAUAUUGACAACGAUGUGUGAACAAAACAAACAGACAAAAUAGGUAAAAAUGUCUAAAAUACAGCAGUCAACAUUGUGUAAUAAUCUUAAUCACAAAAAAACCACAUACAAGAAUAAAGAAGUACAACAUGGCAUAUGGACCAAGCAUAUUAGCAAAAAUUAAAGACAAGAAUACACAAACUUACCAUAUUACUAUAAUACAAUGGCGGGGUGUAUAAGUACAGAGCCACGUCAUAUAUGUAACAAAGAAACAUAAAAAGGCAUAUAGACAAAGCACAAUAGCAAAAAAGAAAGACAAGAAUACGAAAAUAUCAUAAAUAAUAAUGACAGGAUGUAAAAGUAUUCCAAGUAUCUUAAUAAAAAUAAAAACAAACAUAUAUUUUAGUCACUGAACACUUUGUGGUUGUUUUUUGAGGAUGAUUUUAAUAAUACAGUUAUAAAUUUAAAGCAAGGACAAUAGUUGAACAAUAGAGGCAUCUUGGAUCUUUUGUUCUCUCUCCUUUUUCAUCAAAAACACAUGUGCUAGCAUCAGAUAAUGGUUUUUCAAAUAUAUUUAUUUUCAGAUAUAGAGGAACUUAUCUUUAUGUUAACAGAUUCACCUGUGAGUAUAUUUUCAGUUUAAUUAUAAUUGGUUAAUUAAAGAGGGAAGCUUUCUGUUCAAAUCACUACAAAAAGAUUGUUACCAUUACUUCUUGUGAGAAUCAGAUUGCAGUUUAUCUUCUCUUGCCCAGAUAAUCGGCUGAUUUCGCAGUAAGUGCAGGUUGACAGGAUGCUAAUAUGAUGGCUUUGAUCUCUUCUCAAAAUGUAUAUUUCUUUGAAAAAAUAAGAAUAUAACCACUUUAUUAGACUCAGUCUUUAGGUUUUUAUAUGUUUUUAUGUUAAUGAUUUGAUGACUCCAUGCAUAGAAUUUUUGCAACAGAUAAAAUUGUUUAUCAAAUGUAUGGUUUUAGGGUGUUAUGUGUCGUCCAUCCAGAGUUCGACAAAUGUUUGCCUCUAGAUCAUGUAGAAAGUCCAUAAUGAUUGGUACAGCACUGAAUAAAUCUGAAAUGAAAAAGGUAAUUGUUGUAUAUGAAUGGAUUCAUAAGCUUCACAAGAAUCCUUACAAGGAAAGGUAUAUUGCAGGUUCUUCCAAGUGUUCCACUAACCCCUUUCUAAAGUUCUUACUGCCAACUCACUGCAGUCAAAGAAGGACUUCAGAAAUAUUCGAAACGGCAUAUUCAAGAAGUGUGUUAAUCAGAUGUGGAUACUGAAAAAUUCAAAAAGAGUAAUGGUGAAUUUACAAUCUCAAUCAUUAAAACAUUGUACCAACAUUAAAACCUUUGAUUUUUCAACUCUUUAUACCACUAUUUCACAUACUUAACUUAAAGCUCGACUGAAAAAACUCGUCAGCUUAUGUUUCUUUAACAAAAAGGGCACUAGACGUUUUAAAUAUCUAGUUUUGGGCAGAAAUUCAGCUUACUUUGUGAAAAAUCAUACAGAGUUGCGGGAAAAAUACAAAGAAGAGAAUAUUACUGCCAUGCUGGACUUUUAAAUUGACAACAUAUUUGUUGAAUUUGGAGGUUUGGUCUUCCAACAUACUAUUGGAAUCCCUACUUGCAGAUUUGUUUUUGUAUUCCCAUGAAGCAGAAUUUAUCCGAGGGCUUGUACAUAAAGGAGAAAAGAAAUUAGCCCAGUCUUUUAAUUUCAGCUUUUGGUAUAUUAAUGAUGUACUGUCUCUUAAUAAUAAUAGAUUCAGUGAUCACUUACAUUUAAUAUAUCCAAGUGAACUUGUAAUUAAAGAUACUACCGACACAGAUAAAUCUGCUUCAUAUUUAGACCUUUUUCUUGAAAUUACUACUGAUGGUAGGUUGAAUACCAAAAUUUAUGACAAACGCGAUGAUUUUAAUUUUCCAUUUCUGUGUAGCAACAUCCCAGCGGCACCAGCAGAUGGAGUAAAUGUGUCUCAAUUGAUACGCUACUCUAGAGCUAGCUCAAAGUACGUUGAUUUUGUUGAACGAGAAUACUGCUUUCUCAAAAGUUGCUUAUGAAUCAAUCAAAUUAAGGUCAUCACUCAAGAAAUUUUACGGUCCCCAUCAUGAAAGAGGGACGAAAGAUACCAAAGGGACAGUCAAACUCAUCAAUCCAAAACAAACUGACAACGCCAUGGCUAAAAAUGAAAAAGACAAACAAACAACAGCACACACGACACAACAUAGAAAACUAAAGAAUAAACAACACGAACCCCACAAAAAAACUAGGGGUUAUCUCAGGUGCUCCGGAAGGGUAAGCAGAUCCUGCUCCACAUGCGGCACCCGUCGUGUUGCUUAUGUGAUAACAAAUCCGGUAAAUAGUCUAAUUCGGCUAGGUCACAUUCAGGAAAGGAAGGGAUUGUAGUUACACGUCAGGAACAUAUCCGAUAUCAUUUGUGAUACGGUUAUUCCAUAACGGUCAACCAACUCGUGAUGGCGUCCGUAAAAUUUACGAAGGGAUGAUUUCAACUUCACCAUUUGGAACUCUUGGUUUAAUAGCUUCCUUGUGAGCAGCAACCCUCUAUCAAGAAAAUCAUGAUAGGAAAUGCAAGCACGGGAAUAUCGUAUCAAUUGGGAGAUAUAUACCCCGUAUGCAGGUGCUGCUGGAAUGUUGCUACUUAGAAAUGGAAAGUUCACAAUUGAAAGCUGAAAUCAUCUCUUUUGUCGUAAAGUUUUGUUUUCAACCGACCCUCAUUGUCAAUUUCUAGAUGUAAGUCAAGAUAUGAGGCUGACUUAACUGUAUCUGUAGUACAUGAGCUGAUUGGCCAUUAUGACAAAAGUGUGUCAGAAAUCAUAUCUGAUAUUCUUCCUCAGUCAUAAUAACCUUCCAUGAUUACCGGACUGAAUAAAGAAAUAACACGACAGGUGCCGUAUACGGUGCAGGAAAUGCUUACCCUUCCGGAGCACCUGAUUUCACUCCCCGUUUUUAGUGGAGUUCGUGUUGUUUCUUAUUUAUUAUUUAUAACUGUUGAUGUAAAUGUCCUUUGGUUUUUUGAGUCUUUGUUUACUCCAUGGUUUUGAUUGUUAUUGUCUUCAUUUGAUAGCAACAUUAAUCUUAUUUAGACAUUCAUAUGUUUUACUACCUUUAGGUAGAAGGUAAGAUAGAGAGUCUUUCUUUUAAAAAAAUGCAAAAAACUUCAAGUUGUAAACAUUAUGUUGAAAUAAAGUUGUUUGCCAGGUUUUCAUUUCUUCAGACUUUUUCAGAAUGAAAGAACAAUUUCAUUGUCAAAACUACAUUUGAAAAUUCAAAGGAAAAAUUUUAAAAAUUUACCAGAAUGUCAAAUGUAUGGUCAGUAUGAAAACGUACAAAUAUUAAACAAUUGUGUGACCUUUAACUGGCUAUUUCAGUUUAUUUUACAGUUAGUGGAGCACAUGGGCCAAAUUGACCAGCCUUGG